GCGAAUUGAGAAGCUUGUUGGAAUAAAAAUCAGCAUGUGGGUCACUCAAGCAAUCACUAAAAUGUGUAGUUACCUGUUUUAGGAAUGAAGGUUUAAAGUUCAAGGGUAUAAUUUCCAUGGAAAUUAAUGCGUGGAAGCCAAAAUAUUGAUACUUUUAGUCUGAUGAGAGGCUUACAAAUGUAAAAAAAUAUAGAACAUCUAGAAAACUUCAGACAUUGAGAAUUUGGAAGUCCAACCCCUUAAUUAGAUGAUAGUAAAAAAAGUUCCUUGGUAAGACAGAUUCUAAUUCUGCUUUCUUGUGAUACUAUGAUUGUUACUGAUUUGAAGAAUUUUCAUAGGAAAAAAUUACGAGAUUCUCACUAAGUAGAUAGUCCCGUAAGAUAUAUGAGUAAUGUGAUUAAUCAUUUCAUCAAACCAAAAACAGAAAUUCUCCCAUUAUAGCAAAAACAGAAGAAGAACUCACAUUGGGAAAGUGGGUGGUGUUUUUGUCAGGCUGAGGAGGUGGAGCUAAGUGGGUGGUGUUUUUGUCAGGCUGAGGAGGUGGAGCUAAGUGGGUGGAGUUUCUGUGAGGUUGUGGAGCUGGAGCCUCAACGGUGGACACAACAAUCUCUGCCUGAAAGCGUAAUUAUCGGAGUGUGUCACAUAAAUAAAGAAACCAUGUACGAUGAUUUACACAGAUUAUGCAUCCAAACCAGACGUUAUGAAAAAGCAUGCUGGAGAAAUCUAAUGAUAGAAGAACAAAACAAUAAACAUAGGAGUUGAAGAAGCAACAUUGUAUUGUUUAUUACUUAUAGUCAUAGCUAAUGCACUAGCACAUUCGAUUCCAUUCCUUAAACACGAUCAUUUUCUACUUUGUUGCCAUUUCUGGUCAGAACAAACAAGAUUAACAAACUAAAUCAAGAAUGGCAUGACCCUACGCUAACUUCCUCUUGAAACAAUGAAGUGUACUCUUGUGACCAAAAAAUAAAAGAAUUUCAAGUGGGAAUUACAAUGCAGAGCUUAGAAGUAUCAGAGUAAGACUACUAAAGGUGAGGUUGGAGUUAUCAGAAAAUGAGAAAGAGAAACUAUAUGAUUUGCUUUGGCUU
rnacentral:lncRNA from 1 species